ensembl:lincRNA Gm17399 predicted gene, 17399
GACUGCCCUCUCCCGGAAUCCUGAUGGAAAGGGGACGGGUUUCCGCAGGGAAUGAGGGCGUGGCCACGCAUGCUCUCCCAAGAGGCCGCCUCGUGUGUGCACUGCCUGGCUUUUCGAAGUAACACGUGGGCUUUGAGACUUAGGCCUCAUAUCUCAAAAGUACUGAAUGACCCGGUCAUUCAGUCGUUAGACCUUCUGUCUCUGUCGGGUUUCAGCCCCAGUCUUGAGUGCCAGAGGCAAAGAAAUAAAAAUAAAGCCCUUAUUCCUGGGAGAAAAGCCACCUGCAGGAGUCCUACACUGGAGACCUCUGUUUUGUGACAUCCCCUGGGCGGACAGUCCAGUCUGGGUGGUGUUAUGGAUCUUGACACUGCUUGAAAGCUGUACUUUGUUGCUGACAUAAGGGAAGGGUAACUUUCUGGGUGGCACUUAGGCCUGUUUCCGGUCUCUGAGCGACCUUCGGUUCUGAGUCGUGAUCAGAUCUCCAUUUAAUGAGCUCGAGCCUCCAAAGGACUUAGAAAGCCAGCAGUAACUAAUGAUGAAGUGCAAUGUCUUCCUGUAAGACCUUCUGCCUGGACUUCAUUGAAGAAUAAUGGCAUCUUCCUCUUCCUUCAUCCCUUAACACAGGAGCCCAUCGAGUGUCCACAUGCACAGAGGAGUCACUUGUCCGCUGACAGCCAUGGCUUUGCAGUAAACGCCAAGGCAUAGAUGCUUCCAUCCCGUAAGCAAGAGCGAGACCUGGAAAUAGCCAGAGACCUAGGUGUGAAGUACAGGCUGUUCUGUUGGUAACAGAAAGGCAUCUCUGCAUCUCCUUCUUAAUUAAUGUCCCUUCUUGUUAUAGAAAUAAAUCUUAUGCUUGUGUGAAACUCAUACUGUAGAGGAGUCCUCCUGCCCUUACUCUGGCUUUAACUCCUUCCCACACAAAGUAACCUACUUCAUUUGCAGUCCAGGAGAGAUCCUUCAGUUUUGCUGCAUUUCUCAAUUAAGUACAGUAUGCAUCAGGCAGCAGAUUUUCUGUACCAAUGAAGUUACACUUUGCACAUUGUUCUAGAAAACACAUCACACAAUGAGAUGGUUAUCUCAUUUGUCACUUGUCUGUGUCUUUAAACAAUUUAAAGUAAAACGCUUGUGGUUCAUCUUUACCUCUUACAAAUAAUCGAAAAUAAAAUGCUACACAUGGUGUC